GUGAGUCAUCGAAUCUUUGAACGCACAUUGCGCCUGCUAGCAUUCUGGCAGGCAUGCCUGUUCGAGCGUCAUUUCAACCCUCAAGCUUUUGCUUGGUGUUGAGGUUCUAUAAUUAUAGGCCUCUAAAUCUAUUGGCAGAACGUCAUAAACUCUCAAUUGUAGUAAAUUUUAUUUCUAUUGAAGAAUUUGGACUGCUCUAGCCGUAAAACACAGCGUGCUCUUUUGAGCCCUAUUUUUACAAGGUUGACCUCGGAUCAGGUAGGGAUACCCGCUGAACUUAAGCAUAUCAAUAAGCGGAGG
rnacentral:misc_RNA from 1 species